UUACGGCCACAGCACGUUGAAACACCGGCUCCAGUACAAUCACCGAAGUUAAGUAACGUCAAGCCUGUUCAGUACCUAGAUUGGUGACCGCUUGAAAGUACCAGAUGUUGUAA